rfam:Erythrobacter litoralis HTCC2594, complete genome.
UCAGCGUAAAUUCGCACCGGUAACGGGAACACAGUGAGGCCUUCCAAGGUCAAAUCUGCGGCUGUCCCUGCAACUGUAAGCGGCGAGCGAGAAAUACAGGCGGGUCACUCCGCAGCCACUGAACCUAAUGAUUUGUUCGGGAAGGUGUAUUCAAGCGAUGACCCGCAAACCAGGAGACCGACCGGAGCGAGUCGCUCUUG